rnacentral:sRNA from 1 species
AAGUAGCCCCGAUUGCAAUGAAAAUCCUUUUUGUGAGCGUACCAGGCGCGCAAAAAGAUUGUAAUGUAAAGCGGGACAAUUA